UGUUGGGACAACUUUGUGUAGGCCCUAACAGUUUGUGGGCAACGUUUGUCACCAUUUUAGUGAAAUUAAUCUAUUGUUUAGUGUUGUGUUGUUGCUUUUCCGGCAUUCAUCCCUCUUUUUUUGGUUUAUCCCACCAAGCUUUACAUGCUAAAAUCGUCACGGGUUGUAAUAUUAACUUACCAUAUGUAUCCAUCUUUGCACACAUGCCAGUACAUUUUCUGAUAGGACACCUUGAGCAGGCCUUUCUUCUGGAGGUAUUUCACCUUUUAAGCUGUUUUUUUGGCUACAAUAUAUGACUUAGCACACGAGCUAUUUUCAAUUAAAAAUCCUUGGGUCAGGUAUUGGAUUUGGGUGCGCACUUUAAGAGUAAAAAUUUGUAUCCAGCUGGAAAUUGGACCAAAAAAAAGAGAGUUCACUUGUUCACAUGUUGUUUAACGUCAUCGAGGACAAAACGCAGUGACAGUCAACGCUGACCAAGGCCAACCAUGAAUGUCUUACAAACAAUGUAAGAAGAUGGCCUCAUCAGCAGAGAUUGAUGCCAUAACUGAAUUGGUAGAUGUCGAGAUCCCUAAGUAAGAUGUAUGGGAACCAACUGUGGUUGCUGUAGAUGAUUAUGUACCUCCCAUAGAUGGGGACAACGUUGACAAGAUGUGUGAGUCGGACAAUAGCUCAGAUUUUUCAAGCUCAGACGGCUCGUCAUCCACUGACAGUGAAUAUGAAAAAAAGAAGAAGAAGAAGAAGGGGAAAAAAGGAAACAGCUAAAUCCAGAGGACUCGAGACCACAGCAGCGAUCCUGCUCUUGCUCUACUUCUUCAAUGAGGACCCGUGAUGUCCUUGGCAAGAUUUUACCGCUCCCUACUCCUUUACUGCACAUCGGCGGAAAUCCAUUUCACCAUGAGAGUGAAAUCAUGCUGGCCUUUGAUGGGGAGAACAUCCACGCCUUCGAGGACGUCCCCUUGGGACUUGGGGCUCUGCUAGGGCUGUAUUUUUUAUUCUCAGUUAAAUUUCCCCAAAAUGUCAGAAAAACACUUAUGUUCUUAAGUUACUGUGUUCUGGGGAUAAGAGAAGUUGGGUGAAGUUACCAAGGGCCGGUCAUAGAGAUGGCAAACUUGCAAACUUCCUAACAUAACUAAGUGGUUGUUGGGCAAGUGGUUGUUGGACACACACACACACAAAAGCAAAAAAAGCUGUAUUUAGCAUCACGUCUACAAUAUUGUUAGUUUACCUAUGAUUCAUUUUUAACG